GGGAAGCGGAAGGGGCGAGCGCGCCGGUAGCGCAGCUGCGGGCGUGGGGGCAACGGGAGCCGCGGAGCCGUCCCGGGAGCGGGGCUGCCGGAGCGGGCGGCGGAGGCAAAGGCGACGAAAUGAAUGCCGAACCCUUACGAAGAGAUAAAGGUUAUUUGGUACAUAUUGGUGGUCUCUGUCCUUCGGUAUCUGAGGUCUCAUUUCCAGAAAUACCAAGUUUCUGAAAUUUCAAUUUAUGAUUCUUCUACUAAUUACAGAUAUGCAUCUCUUGCUUUCCAAAAAAAAAAAAAAAAACAGUGAUGUAAAGAUGGCUGUGAAAGGAAUGAUGCCAAAAAGAACCACAGAUAUAUAGAUCUGUCAGUGAACUCGUAUCCAGCACAUAUGAAGAACUCUAUAACACUUCAGUAAGAAUGCUGAAAUAAACCAACUCACUAAGAAAUGGGCAAAGGAACUGAACAGACACUUUGUGAAAGAAGAUAUCAUUGGUCAAUAGGCACAUUAAAAGGUGCUUACAUCAGGAAAAUGCAAACUUAAACUUUGUGAGAUGCCACUAACAAACCCCCUGGAAUGACACAAAUUUUAUAAGAUGGACAAUACCAGGUGUAGAAAACUUGGAAUUCUCAUAUACUGCUGGUGGAAAUGUAAACUCUUCACUUUGGAUAACAGUUGUGCUGUUUCUAAUAAAGUUAAACAUACAUUUA